rnacentral:rRNA from 1 species
GACGAACGCUGCGGCGUGCCUAAUACAUGCAAGUAGAACGCACAGUUUAUACCGUAGCUUGCUACACCAUAGACUGUGAGUUGCGAACGGGUGAGUAACGCGUAGGUAACCUGCCUGGUAGCGGGGGAUAACUAUUGGAAACGAUAGCUAAUACCGCAUAAUAUUAAUUAUUGCAUGAUAAUUAAUUGAAAGGUGCAAUUGCACCACUACCAGAUGGACCUGCGUUGUAUUAGCUAGUAGGUGAGGUAACGGCUCACCUAGGCGACGAUACAUAGCCGACCUGGGAGGGUGAUCGGCCACACUGGGACUGAGACACGGCCCAGACUCCCACGGGAGGCAGCAGUAGGGAAUCUUCGGCAAUGGACGAAAGUCUGACCGAGCAACGCCGCGUGAGUGAAGAAGGUUUUCGGAUCGUAAAGCUCUGUUGUAAGAGAAGAACGGGUGUGAGAGUGGAAAGUUCACACUGUGACGGUAUCUUACCAGAAAGGGACGGCUAACUACGUG